rnacentral:sRNA from 1 species
AAGAAAAAGAAGAGAAAAAAAA